rnacentral:rRNA from 1 species
ACGAACGCUGGCGGCGUGCUUAACACAUGCAAGUCGAACGGAAAGGCCCCUUUGGGGGUACUCGAGUGGCGAACGGGUGAGUAACACGUGAGUAACCUGCCCUUGACUUCGGGAUAACUUCAGGAAACUGGGGCUAAUACCGGAUAGGAAUCCUUGCUGCAUGGUGGGGGUUGGAAAGCUUCGGCGGUUUUGGAUGGACUCGCGGCUUAUCAGCUUGUUGGUGGGGUAGUGGCUUACCAACGCUUUGACGGGUAGCCGGCCUGAGAGGGCGACCGGCCACAUUGGGACUGAGAUACGGCCCAGACUCCUACGGGAGGCAGCAGUGGGGAAUAUUGCACAAUGGGCGGAAGCCUGAUGCAGCAACGCCGCGUGCGGGAUGACGGCCUUCGGGUUGUAAACCGCUUUCAGCAGGGGCGAAGCUUGUGGUGACGGUACCUGCAGAAGAAGCACCGGCUAACUACGUG